CGGGGUGCAGCAGGCGCGAAACCUUAGCAAUGUGCGAAAGCACGACUGGGUCAGUCCGAGUGAUUCCUGAUAAAGGAGUCUUUUGCUUGUCCUAAAAGCACAGGUGAAUAAGGGGUGGGCAAGUCUGGUGUCAGCCGCCGCGGUAAUACCAGCACCUCGAGUGGUCAGGACGUUUAUUGGGCCUAAAGCAUCCGUAGCCGGCUCUGCAAGUCUUCGGUUAAAUCCACCUGCUCAACAGAUGGGCCGCUGGAGAUACUACAGAGCUAGGGAGUGGGAGAGGCAGACGGUAUUCAGUGGGUAGGGGUAAAAUCCUCUGAUCCAUUGAGGACCACCAGUGGCGAAGGCGGUCUGCCAGAACACGUUCGACGGUGAGGGAUGAAAGCUGGGGGAGCAAACCGGAUUAGAUACCCGGGUAGUCCCAGCUGUAAACGAUGCAAACUCGGUGAUGCAUUGGCUUAUGGCCAAUGCAGUACCGCAGGGAAGCCGUUAAGUUUGCCGCCUGGGAAGUACGGACGCAAGUCUGAAACUUAAAGGAAUUGGCGGGGGAGCACAAGGGCGAUUCGCGGCCGC
rnacentral:rRNA from 1 species